UCUGAUCUUUUGUCAGCAGUCCUACUAAAGUCCCAAACUUAAUUAUGGCAAUUAGUAGCAAGGGUUGCGCUCGUUGCGUCACUUAAGACAACAUCUCACGACACGAGCUGACGACAGCCAUGCAGCACCUGUGUCUAGGUUCCCGAAGGCACUGCCAUAUCUCUAUAGCAUCCCUAGCAUGUCAAGAGCAGGUAAGGUUCUUCGCGUUGCAUCGAAUUAAUCCACAUCAUCCACCGCUUGUGCGGGUCCCCGUCAAUUCCUUUGAGUUUUAAUCUUGCGACCGUACUCCCCAGACGGUCUACUUCUCGCGUUUGCUUCGCUACCAAGGUUCUACCCCCAACAGCAAGUAGACAUCGUUUACUGCGUGGACUAC
rnacentral:misc_RNA from 1 species